CGGGACGGGUGAGUAAUGUAUGGGGAUCUGCCUGAUGGCGGGGGAUAACUACUGGAAACGGUAGCUAAUACCGCAUAAUGUCUACGGACCAAAGCGGGGGACCUCCGGGCCUCGCGCCAUCAGAUGAACCCAUAUGGGAUUAGCUUGUAGGUAAGGUAACGGCUUACCUAGGCGACGAUCCCUAGCUGGUCUGAGAGGAUGAUCAGCCACACUGGGAUUGAGACACGGCCCAG
rnacentral:rRNA from 1 species